UCAUAUUAGCAACCCAAAAGUGGCUCACAUCAUGCCCAGAAUCACAUACAUAAGUCCAAGUCCACACAUACAUCAUAUUAGCAACCCAAAAGAGGCUCACAUCAUACCCGGGUUCACAUACAUUACUCCAAGUCCACACAUACAUCAUAUUAGCAACCCAAAAGUGGCUCACAUCAUACCCAGGUUCACAUACAUUACUCCCAAGUCCACACAUACAUCAUAUUAGCAACCCAAAAGUGGCUCACAUCAUACCCAGGUUCACAUACAUUACUCCAAGUCCACACAACAUGACAUGAGCAGCAACAAAAGUGACAUUAAGUGAAAGAAAUUAGAUGGAGUUCACAAGCUGAGCCGCCUUUUGCUUCUUGUGCCCAUUGCAGGGCUAGUUGGGUAAGCUUUUUUGCUUCUAGUGCCCAUUGCAGGGCUGUCAAAUGGCACCAUCGGAUUGUUUUGAUCCUUUUUAGCAAGCUCCAUCUUCCUUGUGGCCCUU
rnacentral:lncRNA from 1 species